CAAAAUCGUUAUGUCAAACCACGUAUUACGGAACGUGCAAGUCAUGGCGUGUACUUGUGUGAAAAAUGUUUGUUUGUUUUGAUUUAAAAAUUUGAAGAAAAAAUACCUUCUACGAAUUGUUUUGAUGCAAAGAACCGUUUAAAAUUCAUAACAAGUAAAAAGGUGCUUAUCUAUUAACUGAGAUGGGUCUUAAGAAGAAAAAGAAUGUUAUCGUGCUCGCGGCAUGCGUUUUUAUAAGUUUUAUCUUGUACCAGUUGUACUUCUUUUUGACGAUCACAUCUGAAACCGCUGCCGGCUUUAAAAUAGUAACCGUGAUAGAUCAUUCCAAAUUGGAUCCAAAAGAACAUAUUCGUUCAGAAGCAGAUAA